CAUUACACUAUCUGCGUCCGAAGUUGAAUUAGGGCAAAAUAGGCCGUCUUCUUCCCCGAAAACAUAACAUCGCGACUUACCCAAAAAACAAAACCCAAAAUCACCACUCACGUCAGAUCUGCUGCCAUAAUCUCCCGUCUUCUUCCCAAACGCCGCCGCGCGCCGCACGCCGUCACCACUCGCAUCCGUUCGCCGCCGGUCUCCUCUCCUCGCCGCUCGCCGCACGCCUUCCAGCCACCGUAUCUUCUCCGCUCGCUGCGUUGCGAAGCCGCUGCCCAGCCACCGUCGCCGUCCAGAGCUGACGCCUCCAGCCCCGUCGCCAUCCAUCACCUCCAGCCGCGCCGUCGCCGUCCAGGUCAAAGUGCACCCGAUUUUGUGUUCCUUGCGCAUAUCGUUGAUAUUAUUUCGGCACUUCAUGCUCCAUUUGUUUUUAGAUCAUUCGGUUCAAUUCCUUUCACUACAAGGCUCUUCUUGUUACCACUUUGGCCCGGAGUCAUUAUGGCGAUGCUUAUCAUGUGGCUCAAUUGCAAGACUUUCUUGUCCAGUUUUUACAACCUCAGAGGGAGAGUGCACCAGACAUGGGUCAUACCAAGAUUUGGUUUUCAGUAUUUCUUGCCAUUUGCUGCGGAAGCCAUAAAUAAAAAGAUUGAAGAAGCUGUUCUUAAUGCUGAUAGACGAGGCGUCAAGGUCAUUAGCCUUGCUGCAUUAAACAAGGAAGGCAUUUAUAGAUGAGCUUACACUUCUUCAGAAAAUUACCAUUAGUAUCCAAAUGUGGUUCAGUUUCUUGGCGCUGUAACCCAGAGCAGUCCGAUGAUGAUAGUGAUGGAAUAUUUACCAAAGGGUGAUUUGCGGACCUAUCUGGAUACUAAUGGGCCACUUAAGCCUACAAAAGCUCUUAGAUUUGCAAUGGACAUUGCAAGGGGGAUGAAGUAUUUGCAUGAAAACAAACCCGAGGCAAUCAUUCAUCGUGAUCUAGAGCCCUCGUAUGGUUUUCCAUAAUAAAUCUGUCCUUGAAUUCCAAUCUCAAAUUUAUGUGGUUAGUUUCUAUGUAUGUUGUUGUUUGCCUAUGUUUGUGCUACAUAACAGAAAUGUUUUGCGGGAUGAUACUGGGCAUCUGAAAGUCGCUGACUUUGGAGUUAGCAAGCUAGUAAAAGUUACAAACAGGGUUAUUAGAGAGGACAGGCCCCUCGCUUGUGAUGAGACUUCUUAGGCAAAUGGGAACUGGAAUUGGACUUCAGGAGAUAUUGGGAAGAGUUCCACUCUUCAAGUUCGGAAAAAGGAAAAGGAAAAAGCCUUGAUUAUGACUGUUGAUGCUUUCUAUAAAUUAGUGAAGAAUCAGGCAGAUGUAGUUCAAUUAAUUACCAAGAAUAUUUGAUAAAUGCAGUAAUGGAGGAGUUAGUGAAUUCACUCAGGUUCUGAGCAAUUGGUCAGGUUCACCUGGAUAUUGCAUGUAUGUAUGUUCUGGUUCAUUGAAUAGAUAGAUUGAAGAAGACAUUUAUUUUACUGGAGUUAAUUGACUCUACGUUUUUGAUCUAGAAGGAAAGAAUUAGCAGACUUUAAUGAUGCCUGAAACAGUACUUGUUUGCCAUAUUAAGCAGAGAAAUCUGAGGAUUUAUUUAGGGAAUUAUGCUACCUGUAAGGCUAACGUUAAUCUACUUAUCUCUUCUUGGUAUA